rnacentral:misc_RNA from 1 species
AACGCACCUUGCGCUCCCUGGUAUUCCGGGGAGCAUGCCUGUUUGAGUGUCAUGAACUCUUCAACCCUCCCUUUUCCUAGUGACUAGAGAGGUGUUUGGAUUCUGAGUGCUGCCCCUUACCCGGGCUCAUUCGUAAUGCAUUAGCAUCCCAUUCGAAUUUCGGAUUGACUUGGCGUAAUAGACUAUUCGCUGAGGAUUCUAGCUUGCUAGAGCCGUGUUCGAGAGGAAGCUACUAAUCUAGCUUAGUCUACUUUAAGAUUAGAUCUCAAAUCAGGCAGGAUUACCCGCUGAACUUAA